rnacentral:tRNA from 1 species
GCCUGAGUAGUUUAAAGGUAAAAACACUAAUUUCAUGCAUUGGUAAUGAGAGUUCGAUUCUCUCUUUAGGCUUA